ACCGAAAUAGUUCAGUUGGGAGAGCGUUAGACAGAUCGAAAGGUCCCUGGUUCGAUCCCGAGUUCAGGCA
rnacentral:tRNA from 1 species